AUUGAACGCUGGCGGCAGGCCUAACACAUGCAAGUCGAACGAGUGGCGGACGGGUGAGUAAUGUCUGGGAAACUGCCUGAUGGAGGGGGAUAACUACUGGAAACGGUAGCUCCUACCGCAUACCAUCGGAUGUGCCCAGAUGGGAUUAGAUAGGAGGUGGGGUAACGGCUCACCUAGGCGACGAUCCCUAGCUGGUCUGAGAGGAUGACCAGCCACACUGGAACUGCGACACGGUCCAGACUCCUACGGGAGGCAGCAGUGGGGAAUAUUGCAAAAUGGGCGCAAGCCUGAUGCAGCCAUGCCGCGUGUAUGAAGAAGGCCUUCGGGUUGUAAAGUACUUUCAGCGGGGAGGCGUUACCCGCAGAAGAAGCACCGGCUAACUCCGUGCCAGCCGCCGCGGUAAUUC
rnacentral:rRNA from 1 species